rnacentral:misc_RNA from 1 species
GAUGAAGAACGUAGCGAAAUGCGAUAAGUAGUGUGAAUUGCAGAAUUCAGUGAAUCAUCGAAUCUUUGAACGCACAUUGCGCCCCAUGGUAUUCCGUGGGGCAUGCCUGUUCGAGCGUCAUUUACCCCCUCAAGCUCCGCUUGGUGUUGGGCGUCUGUCCCGCUUCGCGCGCGGACUCGCCCCAAAGGUAUUGGCAGCGGUCGUGCCAGCUUCUCGCGCAGCACAUUGCGCUUCUCGAGGCACCGGUGGGCCCGCGUCCAUCAAGCUCACCCCCCCAGUUUGUCCACGGAUCAGGUAGGGAUACCCGCUGAACUUAAGCAUAUCAAUAAGCGGAGGA